GACGCCGUGGCCGAGUGGUUAAGGCGGUCGACUAGAAAUCGACUGGGUUUAUCCCACACAGGCUCAAGUCCUGUCGGCGUCG
rnacentral:tRNA from 1 species